UACGGACACACCACGUUGAAACACCACUUUCCGUAUAAUCAUCGAAGUUAAGCAACAUCGAGCCUAGUCAGUACCUAGAUGGGUGACCGCUUUGGAAUACCAAGUGCUGUAC